UUGUUGUUCUGAAGAGCAAAGAGAAAGAUAGAAAAACGGCUGGCAUUCAGCCUAAAGAGAAAUCAUUGAAACAAAUUAAUCCUAUGCUGUUUAAAUUGACAUGGUAAUCCAUCAUCAGAGAAGGCAAACUCCGAAAGCAAUCUAGAAUCUGCCCUGCUCUUUCACUGGCCCUGGAGGCACAAAGACAGAUAGUAAAGGAAGGAGGGGGGAAAUCAUAAAAGUUAGGAAUGCCUGAGAAAAUAAUCAAAUUGGUGGUAUCAGCUCUCACUGUCCUGCCUCUGCAAACCUCCUUUGGAAAGGAGAGGUUAACUCUCAACAGUUGCUUUCCCAACUUUCCCCCUAAGUGGUAGGUCUCUGGAGCUGAGCUCUAAAAGUCUGCCUCCUUCUCUAGGCUGCCAGGCUGCUCACCUCAUUCUAACCAUUGCCUGCCGCGUUUAAAAAGUUGACCAGCCAGGAGCUUGGCAGGACCCACAGAAACAGUUCAGUUUGCGCAGAAACUUUCCCAACAUGGGGAGGAGACAUUUUACAGAACAUACCUUUCUCAUUACUGCCUGGACAUACCAACUUGAACACAAAAGUGAAUAUUAUGUUUUUCAAUUUAACAAUGCAUUCGACUUUAAGGCGAGACAAUUUGAAAAUAUUUUUAACUUCAAAAAUUCACUCUGUUAACAAUAGACAGUAUGUGAAGACAAAAACCCAAAUACCUUUGUACCAAAAGCAAAAGGCAGAAGGAUAUGAAUGUAAACCUUACCCAACAGCUGCCCUAUUUUAAUUUAUCUAGGAUAGUGUUUCUUCUAGUUUAUUUAAAAAAACUUAGUAUGUUACUGAAACUUCAGAAUAAACAUCGCACCUCUUUUCUAUAAUUAGAAUUUUUAUUCACAGAUUUUAAAAAGGGAGUGAAUAAUUCUUGUAUACUGACUAAUGCUUUUUAAAAUACAUACUCAUAAAAGACAAAUUAAAGGUAUUUCCAGGGUAAAUGCGAAAGGAGGGUUAAAGACUCAUAUUAAAUAUUCAUUCAUUCACAGCCAUGCCAGUUGCAAUUUUAAGAGUUGUUAGGAAAGAAGAACAGGUUUAGUUGUUUGUUUUUAAUAGAACCUGGGGGGUUGAAGUAGUAGCUCUUCAAUAACUGAACAUUCAAAUUGCACUUCCUGAAAAAGAUUUGAUACUUCUGAAUUUGUUUUCAAUUUAUAUACAAUGUAGACUUUAGCAAAAUAUUAUCUAAUUUUAAAAGCCAUUAAAUUAACCAAAAUCACAUGUAAGAAAAAUAAAUUAGUAAAUAAACAUCAGUCUUUAUCACUCAGAGGAGGCUAAGAAGAAAAGUACCUUUAAAAUCCCCACUACUUAAAUAUCACAAUACUACCAUCUUUUUAAUUACUUGGUAAUGUGGCAACAAAGUAUAUGCAAAGAAAUUGCAACAUAUCUUUAGAAGUAAAUAAGUUAUUAACAUAUAUUCUACAAAGAAAUGGGCUUCCCCAAUUUUGCUAACUUCUCCCUGAUGCGAUGUGACGUGGUCCUGCCAAGAAAUAACCAAUGUGACAUUUUCACUAAAUUCAAUAUUCCCUUCCUUUAAGGUUCUCAGUUUUGCUUUAAACUAUUUGAAGCGACUUCCUCUCAAUCAAUUUACCUCAGGCAAGUACAUAGAAAUCUCCUAGAUAAGGUUGAUUAAUUUAUUAUGAAUUAUAAUAGACGGAUAGGAAAAAUAUCUUUAUCUACCUUGUAUUCAAACUAAAAAGAAAAGUAUAAAUUUUAUUCAAACAAUACACUUUGUAAACUCUCAAGCUAAUACUUCCUAUGGUCAAGAAGCUGAAUGUGAUGUUAAACUGCCUUCUCUUAAUUUUACACAGAAGUUCUUUAUUUUUAACAUUCACCUUCAACUUUUCCAGAAAUCAGCCUUUUAAGAGGAGAAAUGAGGUUGUAACUAGCUUAUGCAUGUUUCCCUAUUAUGACACUAUGUCUGUCUCUGUCCACCUACUUCUUUAUAUUGAAACUGUCCCCCCCCCAAAAAAACCUUAUAAAAAACAAUAGAAUGGAAAUCACUCCUUAAACUAUUUUUCUCCAACUACAAUUCACCUUGAGUUUGUGUUUUAAGAAAAUUUAAUUAAAUCCCUUUUGUUGUUCUGCUUGUAUUUUCUUUAAGUACUACUGAUGCAGCUAAUUAACCAUAUUAAUUUAUCUGGGUAUUUGCCUUACUAACACCUUCACAUUUAAAUGACUGGCACUUGAUACCAUUUGAUUAAUGCUUUUUCUUGACAUACCAAAAAUUAACUGCCAUUUAGAAGAUUUCAUUACCAGGCUCUUGAGAAAGAGAAAAAUGUAGAACCAGACAAUAAUUCCUCACUCUGUCCACUACUAAGUAUGAACUGAUGUCCACAUGGCUUUAGAUGCCUUUGGAACUUUCUCAGCAGGAGUUGCCUUACAAUAUAAUAUUGGUAUUAAAGGCAUGUAUAGCCACAUCACACUUGAUUAAAUGGGCAGAGAGCCCCCUUAUGCCAUCAUCUCUAGCUAUAGCCUAUUCUCCUUUAAUUCUUCAAUCCAUUGAAAAGUAAAAUAGACCGAGUAGCAUAUCCCUGAAUUUUUAACUAUUUAGGCAAAAGAUGCUCACCUUUUAUUUAAAUGCCCUGCCAAAGCUACCAAACUGCAAAAUUGAUGAUUUUACUUUGAAGUGUCUUUCUGUGAUUUUGCAAGCCACAAAAGCUCUACCAUAGCUAAGUUGCUUCAGCUUGUAUUUCAACAAUGGUGAUUCUAAGGAGCUCAUUCAAAACUCCUUUUUGCACUGCCUUCUGCCUUUUUGCCAGUACACAUGAGUGACAGCCUCUAUCUAGUGCUUGAGUAUAUGAACCUUUAAUCCAUCAAGGAACUUCUAACACCAUAAGAAUAUACACACCCACGUGCAUACACCUUCAUGCAUGUAACUAUCAUACAACUACCCAUUAGAAUGCCACCAGGUUUGAAACCAGCAGAAUAUAUUUUUCUAAUCUCAUCCAGAUUCUAUGGCUGUAAUUUGGCUACUGACAAGAUUCUAAAAUUAGCUUUUAUUUAAAUGAAAUAAACCAUGUAUUUUUUUUUUUUUUUUAGUUUUUUUUAGUUUUUAAAACUCCCUGCACAGCAAUCUACUGUUGUAUACAUGGUUAGAAAUAUUUUUUAAAUGGACUAGGCAGUCAGUUAAAUACACGAAAAUAUUUCACUAUAUUAUAUUUUCUUAUUCCCUAAAGUCCAUCUCCAUGGAGUGUGCUGCGGGUGAUGGAUGAGACUGUUGUCUCUCUGAAUGGAAACCUGCUUUCAUAGGAAGGGUGGAGGUGGGAGAGGACCAGUGAAGGGCAGAGCUCUAAAAUUCUGGCAACUACAGUGAAUAUACCCUUUCCUCCUUUCUUCCUUCUUCCUUCACUCCCUCCCUUCCUCGCUUCCUUUUUGCGUGUCUCCUUUUGGUAGAUUAGUGUAGUUAACCUUCGUUCCGGCCAAGACCAAGAAGGGUUAAUGGAGACCCGGCUCCUGACACCCUCCAGGUCAGCUUGGCUUGCGAACUUCCAACGCAGGAAUUAGAGGAUUACCGAGGAAGGAAUGCGAGGUACCCGAUACCCUCACACCUGAACACGGUCGCUUCAAUCCACUGGGAUUCAUUUUAAGAAAUAAAUAAAUUCUCUUCUGGAAAAUGGUUAAUU